rnacentral:rRNA from 1 species
ACCCGCGUACAUGCCACCGGGGCAUCCCGGAGGCAGGAAAGGCUUCGGCCGGACAGGGAUGGGCAUGCGGCGCAUUAGGCAGUAGGCGGGGUAACGGCCCACCUAACCGACGAUGCGUAGGGGUUCUGAGAGGAAGGUCCCCCACACUGGUACUGAGACACGGACCAGACUCCUACGGGAGGCAGCAGUGAGGAAUAUUGGUCAAUGGUCGGGAGACUGAACCAGCCAAGCCGCGUGAGGGAUGAAGGUACAGAGUAUCGUAAACCUCUUUUGUCAGGGAACAAAGGCGGGGACGUGUCCCCGGAUGAGUGUACCUGAAGAAAAAGCAUCGGCUAACUCCGUGCCAGCAGCCGCGGUAAUACGGAGGAUGCGAGCGUUAUCCGGAUUUAUUGGGUUUAAAGGGUGCGCAGGCGGUCUGUUAAGUCAGCGGUCAAAGCCCGGGGCUCAACCCCGGCCCGCCGUUGAAACUGGCAGUCUCGAGUUGGAGAGAAGUAUGCGGAAUGCGCGGUGUAGCGGUGAAAUGCAUAGAUAUCGCGCAGAACUCCGAUUGCGAAGGCAGCAUGCCGGCUCCACACUGACGCUGAGGCACGAAAGCGUGGGUAUCGAACAGGAUUAGAUACCCUGGUAGUCCACGCGGUAAACGAU